UGCUAUACAUGCAGUCGAGCGAACUGAUUAAAGCUUGCUUCUAUGACGUUAGCGGCGGACGGGUGAGUAACACGUGGGCAACCUGCCUGUAAGACUGGGAUAACUUCGGGAAACCGAAGCUAAUACCGGAUAGGAUCUUCUCCUUCAUGGGAGAUGAUUGAAAGAUGGUUUCGGCUAUCACUUACAGAUGGGCCCGCGGUGCAUUAGCUAGUUGGUGAGGUAACGGCUCACCAAGGCAACGAUGCAUAGCCGACCUGAGAGGGUGAUCGGCCCAACUGGGACUGAGCCACGGCCCACACUAAUACGGGAGGCAGCAGUAGGGAAUCUUCCGCAAUGGACGAAAGUCUGACGGAGCAACGCCGCGUGAGUGAUGAAGGCUUUCGGGUCGUAAAACUCUGUUGUUAGGGAAGAACAAGUACAAGAGUAACUGCUUGUACCUUGACGGUACCUAACCAGAAAGCCACGGCUAACUACGUGCCAGCAGCCGCGGUAAUACGUAGGUGGCAAGCGUUAUCCGGAAUUAUUGGGCGUAAAGCGCGCGCAGGCGGUUUCUUAAGUCUGAUGUGAAAGCCCACGGCUCAACCGUGGAGGGUCAUUGGAAACUGGGGAACUUGAGUGCAGAAGAGAAAAGCGGAAUUCCACGUGUAGCGGUGAAAUGCGUAGAGAUGUGGAGGAACACCAGUGGCGAAAGGCGGCUUUUUGGUCUGUAACUGACGCUGAGGCGCGAAAGCGUGGGGAGCAAACAGGAUUAGAUACCCUGGUAGUCCACGCCGUAAACGAUGAGUGCUAAGUGUUAGAGGGUUUCCGCCCUUUAGUGCUGCAGCUAACGCAUANCACUUCGCCUGGGGAGUACGGUCGCANGACUGAAACUCAAAGAUUGACGGGGCCCGCACAAGCGGUGGAGCAUGUGGUUAUCGAGCANCCGAAGACUUACAGGCU
rnacentral:rRNA from 2 species